AGCGAACGCUGGCGGCAGGCUUAACACAUGCAAGUCGAGCGGGCGUAGCAAUACGUCGGCGGCAGACGGGUGAGUAACGCGUGGGAACAUACCUUUUGGUUCGGAACAACACAGGGAAACUUGUGCUAAUACCGGAUAAGCCCUUACGGGGAAAGAUUUAUCGCCGAAAGAUUGGCCCGCGUCUGAUUAGCUAGUUGGUGAGGUAACGGCUCACCAAGGCGACGAUCAGUAGCUGGUCGAGAGGAUGAUCAGCCACAUUGGGACUGAGACACGGCCCAAACUCCUACGGGAGGCAGCAGUGGGGAAUAUUGGUCAAUGGGCGGAAGCCUGAACCAGCCAUGCCGCGUGCAGGAAGACGGCCCUACGGGUUGUAAACUGCUUUUGCAGGGGAAUAAACCUUCGUAUGUAUACGAAGCUGAAUGUACUCUGAGAAUAAGGAUCGGCUAACUCCGUGCCAGCCGCCGCCGUAAU
rnacentral:rRNA from 1 species